rnacentral:misc_RNA from 1 species
GAUGAAGAACGUAGCGAAAUGCGAUUAGUAGUGUGAAUUGCAGAAUUCAGUGAAUCAUCGAAUCUUUGAACGCACAUUGCGCCCUUUGGUAUUCCUUAGGGCAUGCCUGUUCGAGCGUCAUUUAAACCUUCAAGCUAAGCUUGGUGUUGGGUGACUGUCCGCUUCACGGCGGACUCGCCUCAAAAUUAUUGGCGGCCGGUACAUUGGCUUCGAGCGCAGCAGAAACGCGAACUCGGGCCCGUCGUAUUGGCUCCCAGAAGCUAUCUUCACAAUUUUGACCUCGGAUCAGGUAGGGAUACCCGCUGAACUUAAGCAUAUCAAUAAGCGGAGGA